rnacentral:rRNA from 1 species
GAAUGGCAUCACGAAGAUUAUACUGUCUCCUUUUUCCAAUCAGUGAAACUAAUCUCCCCGUGAAGAAGCGGGGAUACACAUAUAAGACGAGAAGACCCUAUGGAGCUUUAAGUAAAACAACAUUUGCCAUUACACAUCUUAAUUUAAGAAAAUUAACCUAUACUAUAGCAUUUUGAUUGUUAGCUUUGGUUGGGGUGACCGCGGAGUAAAAAAGAACCUCCACAUUGAAAGGGGGUAAUCCCCUAAACAAAAAGUUACAACUUUAUGUAUCAACAUAUUGACAUCAAUUGACCCAAAAAUUUUGAUCAACGAAACAAGUUACCCUAGGGAUAACAGCGCAAUCUGCUUCGAGAGCCCAUAUCGACAAGCAG